UAGGCAAGUAGCAAACCAGGUGUUGCAGC
rnacentral:piRNA from 1 species